AAAAAAAAAAAGUAAAUAUUCACAAUGACAGCAACAGAAGACCCAUAUCAAAACAGUGUAUCAGAAGAGUAUACAUGUGUAACAGACUCUGCACUCUAAAGAACAUUUUAAGGCUACGGAACUCCAUAUACUACUGGAAAACAGGAAUAAAAGAAAUGGAGAGCCAGGGAAGCAUCUCCAGCUGCCACCACAAACAGGAAGAGAGGAGGUAAGCACUGCUGCUUGAAACAGGACAGCUGUACCAACAGGUAGACAGGUGGGAUAACUGCCUGGAGGGAAAGAAUCCAUCUGCUCAUCAUCAGGUGUGAAAAUAUUAGGGGAAAUAAAGCAGGAGAGCCUCACAAGGGUUCAUCACAGUUUCUCUGAAAAUCCUCUUACAAACUUAUGUGUGUAUUUUA